rnacentral:rRNA from 1 species
UCGCUACUACCGAUUGAAUGAUUUAGUGAGGCUCUCGGACUGGGCUCUGAUGACACUUCGGUGUUUUCUUAGCUCGGAAAGUUUUCCAAACUGUAGCACUUAGAGGAAGUAAAAGUCGUAACAAGGUUUCCGUAGGUGAACCUG